ensembl:rRNA 5S_rRNA 5S ribosomal RNA
GCCUAGAGCCAGACCACCCUGAACGUGGCCCAUCUCAGCAGAUCUCAGAAGCUCAGCAGGGUCUGGCCUGAUUAGUACUUGGAUGGGAGACUGUGACUAUCAGGUGCUGUAGGCU